rnacentral:lncRNA from 1 species
GAAAUGGCAGUUUCCUCUUAGCAAUAGAAUUAAAUAUGUUAUUAUGUAUUUCUUUGUAUGAUUGUGUAUUUUUUAACUUUUUGUUUAAGGUGUCUUUCACCAACCAGAGGCCAAGCAUCAAGAAGGCAGAAGAAAGUAUCUCUUGGUCUUCACUGAGUCUACAGCAUCUAGCAUGGCCCAGAGAGUGUGCUCAGUCAAUCUGGGUUAUUCAUCAGAGGUUUUGGUCAAGGAGAAGUACAGAACUGUACAUCACCCUUAUGGGCAUGCCUAGACUGCACUCAAAAUUUCCACAAAACUUUCAGGAUCAUAAAGUAGCCAGAGUCCUUCUGGGUGAUCUUCCAAGACCUGUCCUUCUCCCAGUGAAGGACCUCCUUUGGCAGCAUCUUGGCUACUUAAAUAUUGUAGCCACAGAGUGAGGACAUGAUGCCCAGAGAGCAGUAGUACUAAUCCUACUUAGUGCUGCUGGCUGGACACCUGCAGGAAUACUGUGGGUAUGAAACUUGGAGAGCAAUUUUGGCCAACCAUAGAGAUCUGAAGGUAGGAUGGCAACACCAUAAGAGACCUGAAACCAUGCUCCAUGGGAAAGAACGGAAAGAACUGGGAUUAUUCAGGUGGGCAUGGGGUAGGGAUGGUGGGGACAAGACAGAACAUAUAGGAGUCUCCAAAUAGGGGGAGUUGACUUUACUCUGUAGGCUUUGAGGUCAGAGCUAGAGUAAUGGUUAGACGUUAGAGAAGACAGCUGCUAUAUUUAAGGAAGAACUUUGUGAAAUUAGUUAUUUAUCAAUAGGACAAUUACUUUAACUGUAGAAUUGAAGUCCCUCCACUCAACACAUAUUUAUUGUUUUCUAUGUUCCAGACACUCUGUAAGGUUAGUUUAUGAUAAUUCCUCGCAAGCACAUAGUACUUGUGGUAUUCAUCACUUAUUUUCACAGUUCAUAAAAGCCAUCUUAAGUAGUCUCAUUUAGAAUUUGGAGUUUGUCUCCAACAUUAGUGGUUUCUCAAUUCUAGAGUUACACAUUUUUACUCACAAAAUUUGUAAACUGCAUUGAUGUUUUCUCAUGUCCAAUGUUAGUUAUAUGGACAUUCUUCUAUCAAAACAAGUGUUUUCAGUAUCAUAAAUCAAAAUUACCUAGACUUUAUCCACUGUCUUUAUUGCUUCCAUAUUUGUUUUAAACUUUUCUGCAAUAAACAUGUACGUGAGGAUCACUUGGGAAGAUGAGAUACUCCCUUACUGUUCUGGUAGAAGAACUAUAAAGUAUCCACCAAGCCCCUGCCCUUUGUGCCUUGGUACACAGCUAGACUGCAUUUCCUGGCUCCUUUGUAAGUAGGUGUUCCUGAGUUUUAAACAUUGCAAAGAGGGUCAAUAGGAUGUGCGUCACAGGCCUGGUUCAUAAAACCAUCUCUCCCUAUCUCCUGAUAAGGGACUCCAAGGUCAUACACAGGGAUACAACCACAGAGAGAAGGAGCCUGAAUCUCUGAAAGAAGGUCGUCUGAAACCCAGAAAUCGGGUUUGGGCUUGGAUGAGAAAUCAACUUUAUUAUGUUGAUGGAUUGAGAUUUGGGAUAUUUGUUAGAGCUGCCAAUGUCAUCUUACUGCCGUUGGUGCUGCAGGAUAACCUCAGUGAGGGAUCACAGAUCCAAAGUAGGGGUUUUGUCCCAGUUUGAAGAGAAUUAAUGGAGAAGACAGAGUAAAGCAGAUGGCACUUAAUUGCAUAUGGAGGCUUCCUUUUGCUAAUAUUUUCUUCCCAUCUAAUUUAUAAACUUCAUGAGGCAUGUUAGCAUGUCUUAUGUCCUCUGCUGUAUUUCAUCGUAGAGUAUUUACUGAGAAAUGCCUGGUGCUUUGGGGUUUUCAGAAAGAAUCCAGAGAGCACAUACUGUUAAACAUUCAUUAAUUCAACAGUGUGUGAGUAUUUACCAUAGGCCAGCCUCUGGUGAUCAUGGUAAACAGGAACUACAGGCCUGCCUACAAGUUGACAGAUAGCAAGGAAAGUGGGUAACCAGGAGGUAAGACUAGUCUGAUAAUGCCGUGACGUGACAGAGAGGAACAGGAUUCUCUGCCUGCACAUGGCAUCUAACAAGGGUAGAGACCAGAGAAUUGUUGUUCAGAAGGUGGUGAAAGUUUUAAACUGAGACUUCCAGGAUGGAUAGAAGCACCCAGAAGAAGUGGAGGUGGUGCAGAGAAAAAGAAUAAUCUAAGAAGAGUCAGGACAUACAACAAGGCCUGGUGUUAACGAAUGUAGGGCAUGUUUGGAGGGACAAAAGGGAAGCAAGAAAGGAAGAGUGAGGAUGAGCAUCAGAGGAGGGCUUUGUGGUUUAUGUACACAUGUACUGAAAUGCACCUGGAGGCCUUGCACUAUGUACAAACAUCAUACACUAAGAUGUGUAUGCAUGUUCUUAGGAAAUAGGACUGGGUAGCCAUCAAGAUGUCAAUGAAUGGGCUGGGGUUGUGGCUCAGUGGUAGAGCACUUGCCUCACAUAUGUGAGGCACUGGGUUUGAAUCUCAGCACUGCAUAUAAAAAAAUAAAAUAAAAGUCCAUCAACAACUAAAAAAAAUAUUCUUAAGAAAUGUCAAUGACUGCUAUUUGGGUAAAUUCCACUGUCCUAUUUGUUUUAAACUUUUCUGCAAUAAACAUGUACACUCGCAA